AUUCCGGUUGAUCCUGCCGGAGGCCAUUGCUAUCGGAGUCCGAUUUAGCCAUGCUAGUCGCGCGGGUUUAGACCCGCGGCAGAUAGCUCAGUAACACGUGGCCAAACUACCCUAUGGACGGAGAUAACCUCGGGAAACUGAGGCUAAUAUCCGAUACAGCUCGCACGCUGGAGUGCAGCGAGCUGGAAACGUUCCGGCGCCAUAGGAUGUGGCUGCGGCCGAUUAGGUAGACGGUGGGGUAAUGGCCCACCGUGCCGAUAAUCGGUACAGGUUGUGAGAGCAAGAGCCUGGAGACGGAAUCUGAGACAAGAUUCCGGGCCCUACGGGGCGCAGCAGGCGCGAAACCUUUACACUGCACGACAGUGCGAUAGGGGGACUCCGAGUGCGAGGGCAUACAGUCCUCGCUUUUCUGCACCGUAAGGUGGUACAGGAACAAGUGCUGGGCAAGACCGGUGCCAGCCGCCGCGGUAAUACCGGCAGCACGAGUGAUGGCCGAUUUUAUUGGGCCUAAAGCGUCCGUAGCCGGCCGAGCAAGUCUGUUGGGAAAUCCACGCGCUCAACGCGUGGGCGUCCAGCGGAAACUGUUCGGCUUGGGGCCAGAGGACUCGAGGGGUACGUCCGGGGUAGGAGUGAAAUCCCGUAAUCCUGGACGGACCACCGGUGGCGAAAGCGCCUCGAGAAGAUGGACCCGACGGUGAGGGACGAAAGCUUGGGUCUCGAACCGGAUUAGAUACCCGGGUAGUCCAAGCUGUAAACGAUGCUCGCUAGGUGUGCCGCAGGCUACGAGCGUGCGCUGUGCCGUAGGGAAGCCGAGAAGCGAGCCGCCUGGGAAGUACGUCUGCAAGGAUGAAACUUAAAGGAAUUGGCGGGGGAGCACUACAACCGGAGGAGCCUGCGGUUUAAUUGGACUCAACGCCGGACAUCUCACCAGCACCGACAACGGUAAUGAUGGCCAGGUUGAUGACCUUACCCGACGCCGUUGAGAGGAGGUGCAUGGCCGCCGUCAGCUCGUACCGUGAGGCAUCCUGUUAAGUCAGGCAACGAGCGAGACCCGCAUCCUUAAUUGCCAGCAGCAUCCUUGUGAUGGCUGGGUACAUUAGGGAGACCGCCACGGCUAACGUGGAGGAAGGAACGGGCAACGGUAGGUCAGCAUGCCCCGAAUGUGCUGGGCAACACGCGGGCUACAAUGGCCGGGACAGUGGGAAGCUAAUCCGAGAGGAUACGCUAAUCCCCUAAACCUGGUCGUAGUUCGGAUUGAGGGCUGAAACUCGCCCUCAUGAAGCUGGAUUCGGUAGUAAUCGCGUGUCAGAAGCGCGCGGUGAAUACGUCCCUGCUCCUUGCACACACCACACGUCAAAUCACCCGAGUGGGGUCCGGAUGAGGCCAUCAUGCGAUGGUCGAAUCUGGGCUCCGCAAGGGGGAUUAAGUCGUAACAAGGUAGCCGUAGGGGAAUCUGCGGCUGGAUCACCUCCU
rnacentral:rRNA from 1 species